rnacentral:rRNA from 1 species
UGGUGGAGCGAUUUGUCUGGUUAAUUCCGAUAACGAACGAGACUCUAGCCUACUAAAUAGUUCGAGGAUAUACUAUUUAACCUCGCAAACUUCUUAGAGGGACAGGUGGCGUUUAGCCACACGAGAUUGAGCAAUAACA